rnacentral:lncRNA from 1 species
GGGUGACAAUUUAGAAAAUUACUUCAGUAAUCCAGGUAGAUGAACUAGGGUGAAAGUAGUGAGGUUGGAGAGGAGUAGACAGAGCUAAGACAUUUUUGUGAGGUAAAAUAAUUAGGUCUUUGUGAUAUAUUGGAUUAGGUGUGAGAGAGGAGUCAUCAUUCUAGGGCAGCUUUACAAGAGGGAUUAAAGGAGGAACAGAGUUUUGGGGGAGAAAAUACAAGUUCAGGGUUUUACGUCUAUGAGGCAAAUAUUGUAGAUGUCUGAAGGCAACUUGAUGGAUGGUUAUAAAACGUGAGAAAGAUGUCUGGGUUUGAAACGUGCUAAUUGAGACUAGAUGAAUAGAGUAGGAGACGCGCGAAUAGAAUCCUGAGGAACUCUCUUUUAAGGAAGGAAGAGGAACUUAUUUUUAAAAAUGAUUGUUUCUAAAAACAUACCCAUUUAUAUAUAUUUCUUCUGUUUGUGUUUUUUGUGUUUGUUUUGGUAUGUGUCUUUCCUCUGUUAGAUGGUAAACCCUUUAAGAGCAGGACUGUGUCUCUUGUUUCACCUCUCUGUGCACAGUACUUGGCACAUAGGGUAUAGUCUACAAAUAUUUGUGGAAUGAAUAAUUACUGUUUUCUCUAUUACUCCUUUUGUUCCUCAUUUGAGUCUUUUAGUUGUGGGCUAUCAUUUCUGCACUCUCUGUUCUAUUUUAGGAGCAGUUUUUCCUCUUUAAAUCAGGGUCAGUAUGUUUUAACUUUUCAUUUUGGAAAAUUUCAAACUUAGAAGAAGAGAAAAUAGGUUACUUAAUAUCUAUGUAACAAUCUAAACUAAACAAUUAUAUUUUCCAUCUUUGCUUCGUGUCUUUUUUUUUUUCAGAUUACAGAAAUUGAUUUAUUUUUAUCACUAAAUAGUUGAUAUAUCUCUCGAAAGUAAGAACAUUUUCUUUUUUUUCUUUUUAGGCCCAUGCAGCUUAUGGAGAUUCCCAGGCCAGGGGUCAAACCUGCAACCUUAUGGUUCCUAGUCAGAUUCGUUUCCACUGUGCCACAACGGGAACUCCAAGAACAUUUUCUUACAUAACCAUAUUCACAUUCACACCUAUAUAAAUUAACAAUUUCUUAAUAUCAUCAAAAACUCAGCCCAUAUUAAAAUUUUGCCACUUAUACCCAAAAUGUCUUUGUGUUUACUACGGCUGCCGUAACAAAAUACCACACACUGAAUGGCUUAGAUGACAGAGAUUUAUUCUCUCACAUUUCUGGAAACUGUAAGUUCAAGAUCAAGUUGUUGGCAUGCUUUAUUUCUCUUGAGGGUCUCUCCUCGGCCUGCAGAUGGCUGCCUUCUCUCCGUGUCCUCACGUGGUCUUCCCUCUGUGUGUGCACAUUCCUGGGAUCUCUGGGUGUCCAGAUUUCCUUCUGAGAAGGACACCAGUUAGAUUGGAUUAGGGCCCAAACCCUAAAAGCCUCAUUUUAACUUACCUUCCUAAAGGCCCUACCUCCGAGUAUUAUCACAUUCUAAGGUAUUGGGAGUUGGGGCUUCAACAUAUGAAUUUUUGGGGGGAGAGGGCACAAUUCAGCCCAUAAAAAUGUCUUUUAUACUGCUGGUUUGUUCAAAGGAAGAUUUAAUCAAGGACUGUGCAACUGCAUAUAGUUGUCAAUUUUUUAUGCCCAUUUUAAUCUACAUAUAUCUCCCACUUUUUCCUUUUUCUUUUCAUGACUGUUGAGACACCUAGCCAGUUGUCCUGUAAAGGACGUUUUGAAUUUGUCUCAUUUAUUUCAUUGCUUUCUCUUUCCUGUAAGCUGAAAGCUAGAUCUAAAAGUUUGUUUCAAUUAAAACAUUUUGGGCAGCAGUAUUUUUAGUUGGUGCUGUGUGUAUCAUAAUGCAUUGUGUCUGGAGGCACAUAUCUCAUUGUCCUACUCUUAGUAAUGCUGAGAUUGAUCGCUGGGUAAAAUAGUGACAGAAUCAAAUCAUUUUAUUAUGAAGUUUUUUUUUUUCCUUUAUCACCAACAAGUUAUCUGUGGUACAGCACUUUAAGCGUCAUAUAGUUUUGAUAAUUGCUGUUUAGGGUAAUGUGGUUGCCUGAAUGCCAUCAAUAAGGUUUGUUAGGAAUAGUGAAAAUUUCUCACUUUUGGCUUUUUAGCAUUUGAACCUCUUUCUUGGAUUUGGCAAUUUCCCCCAAUUUAUGAGUCAGAGCCUUCUUUUCACUAGAAAAACUGAAAAUGUUAGAUUCUUUAUUCCAACCCCCUUUUCAUCUAGGGCAUUGCUGUGUACCUGGGUUCCAUUAGGCAAAUUACUUACCUCCAGUUUUGGACUGGAAGCUAAUAAUAUAAAGAUGGCACUAGACAGAAUCUGUUCUGGUGAGGGAUUGUAGCAGUAGCCCCAAUCUCAUUUAAGAAGCAGCGGGGCAGUGGCUCUAAGUGUGGCACCCACCCAGUGUCUGGACUGUUGGUAGUGUGGGUUGUGCAAGCCGUAAUGUCUGUGUCAGCAGCAGUGGUGUCAUCACUGGAAAGGUUGAGGCAUGUGUUUGGGCAUGGUCUUGGCUGUGUGGCCUUUUAUAAGUGUGGUCCUUGCUUUUCUGGAGAUAACCUUUUUAAUAAAUUCUGUUUCUGCUUUGGUAGCUAUAAUUUCUUUUCCUUCUUAAUAACUUAAAACUCUGGGAGAAAUACUUUGAAGGGAUAAUUUAGAUCAGAAGUUGGACCCAGUGUCACCUCAGGUCCUUUUUAAAUUUGCAGUUAUAUUUGUCCACUCAUUCUUAGUCUUUAAAAAUCUUAUUUUAUUUAUAUUUUUGUUUCUCGUUUUUUGAGAUAUACUUUAUCAUUGGCUGUUAAGUUUUAGAAGUAUUCGUUGCAGAAGUGUUCAUUUUAUGCCCACUAUGAGCUAAGCUGGAAAUACAAGACGAAUAAUAAUCUACCCUCAAGGAAGAUAAAUCAGAUAGAGAUGUUUUAGUUCAGAUAAAGUGCAUUGGCAAUUCAAGUAGGAAGAAAUCAUUUGCAGUAGGAGGGAUAGGAAAUGAUAAAAGAGGUUCGAUUUGAGCUGGUUUUUUUUUUUUGAAGGCUUGGGAGUGUCUACAAUAGCCAGAUGAAAGAGGAAGGGGCCUUUAGGUAAAGGGAAUAGCAUGACCAAUGGUAAGAUGUUGGAUAUGUAUAUGAGGAUAUUUAGUCUAUUAGAAAUUAAAAUGGGUAUGUUAGAAUACUUAUUUAUUCAUUAAAAAUGGUGGUUAAUAAAUCCCUUGCUUAUUAUCAUAAAUGACAUGUUUUUAAUGAAAAGUAUUUCUAAAACAAAACAAUUUAGUGAGAAGACAACAUAGUUUUACAUUUUGCAACUCCCUUUAAUGUUGGUCUUAGAUUCUCAUAUCUGCUACUGCAUUCACUCUACUGUUGUAUGUUGUUUGGGAUGAGGUAUUUUAUGAGAAGCUGGCCAUUUUCCUGUACCUUUAAACACCACUUGUCUGGGGAUGGGAGAAACUGAAAGUGUAGAUGUUUGAAGGUCUUCCAGUGCAUACUGUUUAUCCAGAAUUAAUAAGGUAGACAGUGAAGAUUUUGUGGGUGAGGUGAGAUUUAAGAUGAAGCUUGUAGACAUUAGAUAAACAGGUGGAAAUAGAAAGGCUUUAUUGUUGGGGCCAAAUAGUAUAAAUAAAGUUGUGGAAAAUGGCAUUUCUCAAGAUCAAAAGAUUGAAACAGUAGCCUUAAAUUCAGGAGGGAGAACAAAUUUAAAAUGAUCACUGUGUACUGGGAUCUGGUAAAAUCUAGAGGAUAAUAUAAAGACCAUGGUUCAACUGAUUGGCUCAUAAUGUUGGGGAGUAAUAGCAGUUCAUCAUUUAUUGAGCUCUUUUUAUGUGUCAUUUCCUAAUUUACACUAAAUGUAUUCAUUCAUUUAAUCUGCAAAUAACUCUAGAAAGUUGGUGUUAUUAUCAUCAUUUUAUAUAUGAGAAACCUCAGGCACAGAGAAAUUUUGUACUCACCUGAGAUCACACUCUCAGAAAGUUGCAGACUUGGGAUUUAAACUCAGGCUGUUGGAUUCCAAGGCCUGUGCUUUUAUGGAGCACACUAAAUUGCCUAUUAAUUAUUAAGAAAUAAGAUUAUAGAAGGAGGAUGGUAUUAGCUUAUGAAGGAAUCUUAAAACAGAGGAAUUUGAACUUGAUACACUAGGUUCUCAAUAAAUGUUUGAUUUUUUUCAGUUGAAUUGAUUUGAGAAGUUAUAAAGUAUUUAUUGAGUGCCAGUAUGUGUCAGCCAUUGCGGCCGGGAUAUGAGGAUGAAUGUGGCAAAGCCUGCUAGUUGUCCCUCAGCAGCUGCCUUUCCUUUCUUCUGAAGUAUAGCAGUCUAAGGUGAGCACAUAGUCAUCCAUAGUAAAGACUACAUCUCCCAGCCUUUCUUUCUUUUUUUUUUUUUAAAGAUUUUUUUUAUUAAAGUAUAGUUGAUUUACAGUGUUUGUUCAAUUUCUGCUGUACAGCAAAGUGACCCAGUCAUACAUAUAUAUAUAUAUAUGUAUAUAUACAUUCUUUUUUUUUUCAGUACUAUCUUCCAUCAUGUUCUAACCCAAGAGAUUGGGCAUGGUUCCCUGUGCUGUACAGUAGGACCCCACUGUUUACCCAUUCUAGAUGUAAUAGUUCGCAUCUACAAACCCCACACUUCCCGUCCAUCCCACUCCUGGGUAUAUAUCCAGACAAAACUUUCAUUCAAAAAGGUACAUGCACCCCUAUGUUCACCCCAGCCUUUCUUGAAAGCUGGAGUGGCCAUAUAACUAAGUUCAGCACCAGGGAUGUAAGUGCAAGUAUCGUGGUGACUUGUUGGGACUUGGUUUAAGUGAUAGAUUGUUUAUGUCCUUUUUCUUCUAUUUUUCUUUUUUUCUUUUGGUUUGGUCCUUUCCUCAGUCUUACUGCCUGUAAAAUACCAAAGGAAAAGGUGUUAAAAGGAAGAGAAUAGAAUCUUUUUGAAUGGAAAUUCUUAGAAGGAAUUACAUAGAAGUUGGCUGCAAUGGCAGAACAUGAAGGGGAAAACUAUUGGUCAUAGGAAUUAAAAUUUGGUUUGGGCAGUAAGAAUAUUAAAAAUGUGUGGAAAACUAUUAGAUUAGUAGUGCUCAGUUAGUAAGUUUGAAUCUGUUGAUCCUGGAGCAGCAGACACCCCUACUCCCAACCUGGCAUUCUCAGGAAAUUCAAACUCUUUAAGGAUGCUUGGCCAGAGGGUCAUGAUUAUCUGUCUAUUCAUUUGAAAUAUAAACAGUCCUUGGGAAGAAGUGGCAACAUGGCUUUCAAGCCCAGUUUUAUCUUCUUGCUUUAACCCCACGAUGCUAUUUUUUAAAAUUUCUUUAAAAUUUUUGAAUAAAUGAUUUUUCAAGAACUUUUAGUAUUAUAGAAAAAUUGAGCAGAAAGUACAGUUUCCAUAUACCACCCCCCCUCCCUAUGCACAGCCUCCCGACUAUCAAUACCAGGCAUCAAAGUGAACAUUUGUUGAAACCGAUGAGCCUACAUUGACACAUCAUAUUCACCAAAGUCCAAAGUGUACGUUGGAAUACACUCUUAGUUUUGUACAUUUUAUGAGUUUGGGUAUAUAACAACGUGUAUCUACCACUAUAGUAUCAUUCAAAAUAGUUUUACUUGGAGUUCCCAUUGUGGCACAGGAGAAACAAAUCCAACUAGGAACCAUGAGGUUGCGGGUUUGAUCCCUUGCCUUGCUCAGUGGGUUAAGGAUCUGGCGUUACCAUGACCUGUGGUGUAGGUUGCAGAUGUGGCUCAGAUUUCGUAUUGCUGUAGCUGUGGUGUAGGCUGGUAGCUGUAGCUCUGAUUGGAUUCCUAGCCCUGGUACCUCCAUAUGCUGCGGUGGGUACGGCCCUAAAAAGUAAAAAAACGGACAACCCCCCCAAAAAAAAACCCAAAAUAGUUUUACUGCCCUAAAAAUCCUCUUUGCUUUGCCUUUUCAUCCCUCCCUACCUCCUGACCUCUGCUAACCAAUGAUCUUUCUUUUCCCUCCAUAAUUUUAUACUUUCUUAGAAUGUUAUACUGUUGGAGUCGUACAUUACAUGGUAUUUUCAGAUUGGCUUCCUUCUCUAGUAUUAAGAACUUAAACUACUUCUGUGUUUUUUUGUGUCUUUAUAAUUCAUUUCUUUUUAGCACUGAAUAAUAUUCCAUUGUCUGGAUUAUUUAUUAUUUGUUUAUCCAUUCACCUACUGAAGGACAUCUUGGUUGCUUUCAUGUUUCAGCGAUUAGGAAUAAAGCUGUUGUAAACAUACACGUGCAGGAGUUCCCGUCGUGGCGCAGUGGUUAACGAAUCCGACUAGGAACCAUGAGGUUGCAGGUUCGGUCCCUGCCCUUGCUCAGUGGGUUAACGAUCCGGCGUUGCCGUGAGCUGUGGUGUAGGUUGCAGACGCGGCUGGGAUCCCGCGUUGCUGUGGCUCUGGCGUAGGCUGGUGGCUACAGCUCCGAUUCAACCCCUAGCCUGGGAAUCUCCAUAUGCCGCGGGAGCGGCCCAAGAAAUAGCAACAACAACAAAAGACAAAAGACAAAAAAAAAAAACAAAACAAAAA